AAGAAAUGUUUAUUGUCAAAAGAAUCUUAUAUAUCAAGGAGUCAGUGGGAGUCUUAAUGGUCUUGAAAGCUUUUAAGAACAAAUCAAAAUAAACCUUAUCGAUCAUCACUAGCACACGAGUUGAGAUUUACAACCUAUCGUGUUGACACUAUAUUGCUUCUGUGUCGUUCCAAUUAAGUUAAUUAUGCAUGUGAGCCCUAUGAGUUCUCAUUUGAAUGCAUAAAAGGCAAGGACCUUGAUCAAUGAAAAGUANUCGUUCCAAUUAAGUUAAUUAUGCAUGUGAGCCCUAUGAGUUCUCAUUUGAAUGCAUAAAAGGCAAGGACCUUGAUCAAUGAAAAGUACAUUGAUAGGAAAGGAUGAGCAGCUUAACUACUU
rnacentral:lncRNA from 1 species